AGAGUUUGAUCCUGGCUCAGGAUGAACGCUGGCGGUCUGCUUAACACAUGCAAGUCGAACGGAAUCCUUAGGGAUUUAGUGGCGGACGGGUGAGUAACACGUAAGAACCUGCCUCUAGGACGGGGACAACAGUUGGAAACGACUGCUAAACCCGGAUGAGCCGAAAGGUAAAAGAUUAAUCGCCUAGAGAGGGGCUUGCGUCUGAUUAGCUAGUUGGUGAGGUAAGAGCCCACCAAGGCGACGAUCAGUAGCUGGUCUGAGAGGAUGAUCAGCCACACUGGGACUGAGACACGGCCCAGACUCCUACGGGAGGCAGCAGUGGGGAAUUUUCCGCAAUGGGCGAAAGCCUGACGGAGCAAGACCGCGUGGGGGAGGAAGGUUCUUGGAUUGUCAACCCCUUUUCUCAGGGAAGAACACAAUGACGGUACCUGAGGAAAAAGCAUCGGCUAACUCCGUGCCAGCAGCCGCGGUAAUACGGGGGAUGCAAAGCGUUAUCCGGAAUGAUUGGGCGUAAAGAGUCCGUAGGUAGUCAUCCAAGUCUGCUGUUAAAGAGCGAGGCUUUAACUUCGUAAAGGCAGUGGAAAACUGGAAGACUAGAGUGUAGUAGGGGCAGAGGGAAUUCCUGGUGUAGCGGUGAAAUGCGUAGAGAUCAGGAAGAACACCGGUGGCGAAGGCGCUCUGCUGGGCUAUAACUGACACUGAGGGACGAAAGCUAGGGGAGCGAAUGGGAUUAGAUACCCCAGUAGUCCUAGCGGUAAACGAUGGAAACUAGGUGUGGCCUGUAUCGACCCGGGCCGUGCCGAAGCAAACGCGUUAAGUUUCCCGCCUGGGGAGUACGCACGCAAGUGUGAAACUCAAAGGAAUUGACGGGGGCCCGCACAAGCGGUGGAGUAUGUGGUUUAAUUCGAUGCAACGCGAAGAACCUUACCAGGACUUGACAUCUCUGGAAUCUCCUUGAAAGGGGAGAGUGCCGUAAGGAACCAGAAGACAGGUGCUGCAUGGCUGUCGUCAGCUCGUGCCGUGAGAUGUUGGGUUAAGUCCCGCAACGAGCGCAACCCUCGUCGUUAGUUGCCAUCAUUAAGUUGGGAACUCUAGCGAGACUGCCGGUGUCAAACCGGAGGAAGGUGAGGAUGACGUCAAGUCAGCAUGGCCCUUACGUCCUGGGCGACACACGUACUACAAUGCGAGGGACACAGAGCAGCCAACCCGCGAGGGAGAGCGAAUCUCACAAACCCUGGCACAGUUCAGAUUGCAGGCUGCAACUCGCCUGCAUGAAGGAGGAAUCGCUAGUAAUCGCAGGUCAGCAUACUGCGGUGAAUCCGUUCCCGGGCCUUGUACACACCGCCCGUCACACCAUGGAAGUGAGCCACGCCCGAAGUCAUUACUCUAGCCCUUUCGGGGGAGGAGGGUGCCGAAGGCGGGGUUGAUGACUGGGGUGAAGUCGUAACAAGGUAACC
rnacentral:rRNA from 1 species